rnacentral:misc_RNA from 1 species
GUCGGAAAUGGCUGCAAACACAACUCCUGGCUUGCAAAUACAAGCAACCAAACAAUGCAUUCCUGCAUCGCAGAAUGUUUCGAAAAUGAGCACUAUGAGUUUCAAUUUUGGAAGUAAAAGAAAAUCUUUUACUGAUUUUAGAAGUUCAUCACAUAUCUCGCUCGCGAAGCCAAUCCAUAGCUUCAAAUUGGCUCCUAUAAAAUUUGAAAGGAUGGUUACAAAAGCAAUGUCUGGAGCUAGUGAACAAGUGCCAGUUUCAGGGUUGCCUAUUGAUCUGAGAGGUAAGAGGGCAUUUAUUGCUGGCAUAGCAGAUGACAAUGGGUAUGGAUGGGCAAUAGCAAAGUCUCUUGCUGCUGCAGGGGCUGAAAUUCUUGUUGGUACAUGGGUGCCUGCGCUCAACAUUUUCGAGACCAGUCUGCGCCGUGGGAAAUUUGACCAAUCACGAGUGUUGCCUGAUGGUUCAUUGAUGGAAAUUGCAAAAGUCUACCCAUUGGAUGCCGUUUUUGACAGUCCAGAAGAUGUUCCUGAGGAUGUGAAAACAAACAAACGUUACGCUGGAUCCUCAAAGUGGACUGUCUCGGAAGUUGCUGAAUCUGUAAAACAAGAUUUUGGCACUAUUGACAUCCUU